rnacentral:rRNA from 1 species
CUGAAUUUUCAGAAUUAUGAUGUGGUCAAUAUCUUAAAAGGAGAGGUUGAUUGUGCUAAGUUAAUGGAACUCCUUACUGCAACUUUUUGCAAGACUAGGCAAAGGCCCUAGCAGACCAGAGAGCUGUCCAGUAAGACUUUUUUAGUCAGAUUUCCCUCCUGAAAGAAAGUUGAGGACCUCAUUGAACUGCAUGGGUUCUCUCUUCCAGAGGAUGUUAAUGUUGCUUUGGCUGAAUGGAAAAGUGCUUGUGACCCUUUUGGGGAGCUAAUUGAAGCUUGGGUGUUAAUUGAAGGGAUUCCUCCUAAAUGAUGCACAUGGAAAGUGUUUGCCCAAAUUGCCUCACUCUUUGGGGUCCUUACGGAUGUGGAUUGGAAUGGUAUGUUUAAGACCUUCUUUGAGAAUGUUAGGGUGAAAAUUGCUUGUCGAGAUCCUACUAAGAUACCAUUUGAUAGGUUGAUUGAGGUGAAGAAGAAGCUCUUUCUACUAGGCUUCACUGUAGAAGGCUUUGAACAAGCUGGUGGAAUAGACUCUGUCAUUGAUGUUGAUGAUGAUGAAGAUGGUGAUGAGGAUGCUGAAGGAGCUGAUGAAGAACAAGUGGAGGAAGACAGGAAGACUCAUGGAGAGGAUGUAUCUGGUGGAUUAGUAGAUGGUGACCUGGCCAUUAAUGAACUAGACAAAGCCAAUUUCUCAACUAAGCAUGGGCCUUCCAACGAACAAUAUAAACAGAAUCAGGUGAUCUCACCUAUGGAACAAUACCCUGACUCUGAAAAUACUCCCCAUCAAGUAUAG